ensembl:lncRNA
CGCUCCUAUCCAUUCAGUAACAUCCUCAUGUGGAGACAUUCCUGUCUUCAGAGCACCUGCUUGGUACCCAGACACCGUGGGGCUGAGAAAGUGUCCUUGAAAGGGUCUUGCGUGAGGAGAGCCCACUGCUGCGGUGAUUGUGUCACUCUUGUUGAGGGGAUGGAUCUCAAGCCCCCUCUGACUCUGGUGACUCACCUGGGUCCCUGAGCUCAAGGACACACAAGAAGUUGGCAAUCUGCAGCCCAAAGGAGGGUCCUCACCAGAACCACACCAGGCUCAGUGGCUGGACUGUGACCCACACUGAUGAACGAAUCCUCCAGGAAUGAGACUCCUUUGGAGUUAUUGGCUGGUGAAAAUAAGCAAAGGACUGCAAAGAUCCACGGGUCAUGUGAGGCAGUCUGGUCUGCGGCAGCUGACAGCAGAGACUCCAGGAGGCCAAGGAAGGCACCCGCUCUCCUCCCACGGGUCUGGUGGGUCUAAUUUGCCUGAAUCCAGUGGAAGAUAAACAGGCAGUGGGUAUGGUGUGUGAAGCCAGAGGCCCACAUCCUGAGAACUGGGGCAUCACUGAUGCUCUCUGGGCCUCCCCUUCCUGUCUGGGGGCGACUUUAACACCCACCUCAGAGUGAUGUUUGGAGGAUUAAAGGAACAUGACUUAGCACAGUGCCUGGCACACAGUGGGUGCUCAGGGCAUGUUCAUUCCCCCUCUUCCCCUUCCCUCUCCCUUACUCUUCCUCUGUUUGCACUGCCUCCAGGAUGAGGCUGUCACCUCAGGGACUCUCCAGCACUUGAGGCCUCUCUCUCCCUCCCCACCUUCCUGAGCAGUCACAGAGUGCUGCAGAUGCUCCUGCCCUUGCACCUGGCUUCCCUGCUUCUUCCCCAAGCAUGCUGCUGUGCCAGGUCUCUUGUCUCUGGUCUGUAUUCCAG